ensembl:misc_RNA Y_RNA Y RNA
GGCUGAUGUAAAGAUAGUAAGUUAUCCAAGUUGAUUGUUCAUAGCUACAGAAUUAACUCCUUGUUUUACUCUUUCUCCCCUUCUCACUACUGCACUUGACUAGUCUAAA